CGUUCCCGGGCCUUGUACACACCGCCCGUCACACCACGAAAGUCGGCAACACCCGAAGUCAGUGGCCCAACCCGCAAGGGGGGGAGCUGCCGAAGGUGGGGUUGGUGAUUGGGGUGAAGUCGUAACAAGGUACCC
rnacentral:rRNA from 1 species